GGGCGUGUACUAUGAAGAGAGCUAUCCAUCGACAGUAUGGUGAUAAUAGACACUGUCAUGGAGUUGCUCUCUUUGUGGAAGCCGCC
rnacentral:pre_miRNA from 1 species